rnacentral:rRNA from 1 species
GCCUACGGGGCGCAGCAGUGAGGAAUAUUGGUCAAUGGGCGGAAGCCUGAACCAGCCAAGUCGCGUGAGGGAAUAAGGCCCUACGGGUCGUAAACCUCUUUUGCCGGGGAGCAAGGGCGGGGACGUGUCCCGGCCCGGAGAGUACCCGGAGAAAAAGCAUCGGCUAACUCCGUGCCAGCAGCCGCGGUAAUACGGAGGAUGCGAGCGUUAUCCGGAUUUAUUGGGUUUAAAGGGUGCGCAGGCGGUCUGUUAAGUCAGCGGUCAAAGCCCGGGGCUCAACCCCGGCCCGCCGUUGAAACUGGCAG